rnacentral:rRNA from 1 species
AUACAUGCAAGUCGAACGCUUCUUUUUCCACCGGAGCUUGCUCCACCGGAAAAAGAGGAGUGGCGAACGGGUGAGUAACACGUGGGUAACCUGCCCAUCAGAAGGGGAUAACACUUGGAAACAGGUGCUAAUACCGUAUAACAAUCRAAACCGCAUGGUUUUGAUUUGAAAGGCGCUUUCGGGUGUCGCUGAUGGAUGGACCCGCGGUGCAUUAGCUAGUUGGUGAGGUAACGGCUCACCAAGGCCACGAUGCAUAGCCGACCUGAGAGGGUGAUCGGCCACAUUGGGACUGAGACACGGCCCAAACUCCUACGGGAGGCAGCAGUAGGGAAUCUUCGGCAAUGGACGAAAGUCUGACCGAGCAACGCCGCGUGAGUGAAGAAGGUUUUCGGAUCGUAAAACUCUGUUGUUAGAGAAGAACAAGGAUGAGAGURACUGUUCAUCCCUUGACGGUAUCUAACCAGAAAGCCACGGCUAACUACGUGCCAGCAGCCGCGGUAAUACGUAGGUGGCAAGCGUUGUCCGGAUUUAUUGGGCGUAAAGCGAGCGCAGGCGGUUUCUUAAGUCUGAUGUGAAAGCCCCCGGCUCAACCGGGGAGGGUCAUUGGAAACUGGGAGACUUGAGUGCAGAAGAGGAGAGUGGAAUUCCAUGUGUAGCGGUGAAAUGCGUAGAUAUAUGGAGGAACACCAGUGGCGAAGGCGGCUCUCUGGUCUGUAACUGACGCUGAGGCUCGAAAGCGUGGGGAGCAAACAGGAUUAGAUACCCUGGUAGUCCACGCCGUAAACGAUGAGUGCUAAGUGUUGGAGGGUUUCCGCCCUUCAGUGCUGCAGCUAACGCAUUAAGCACUCCGCCUGGGGAGUACGACCGCAAGGUUGAACUCAAGGAAUUGACGGGGGCCCGCACAGCGAUCAGCAUGGUGGAUUAAUUCGAGCAACGCGAGUACCUACAGC